rnacentral:rRNA from 1 species
CCUACGGGUGGCAGCAGUGGGGAAUAUUGGACAAUGGGCGAAAGCCUGAUCCAGCAAUGCCGCGUGUGUGAAGAAGGCCUUCGGGUUGUAAAGCACUUUCAGUGGGGAAGAAAGCCUUGGGGCUAAUACCCUCGAGGAAGGACAUCACCCACAGAAGAAGCACCGGCUAACUCCGUGCCAGCAGCCGCGGUAAUACGGAGGGUGCGAGCGUUAAUCGGAAUUACUGGGCGUAAAGCGCGCGUAGGCGGUCUGAUAAGCCGGUUGUGAAAGCCCCGGGCUCAACCUGGGACCGGCAUCCGGAACUGUCAGGCUAGAGUGCAGGAGAGGAAGGUAGAAUUCCCGGUGUAGCGGUGAAAUGCGUAGAGAUCGGGAGGAAUACCAGUGGCGAAGGCGGCCCUCUGGACUGACACUGACGCUGAGGUGCGAAAGCGUGGGUAGCAAACAGGAUUAGAUACCCUAGUAGUC